GUAAUUUAGUGUACUCUUACCUUUCCGAGACAAAGACAAAGUGCAACCCUUUGUAACUCCCCGCCAGAAAGAUUUGAAACCUGCCUGUCCAUGAGUUCUUCGAUUUUCAGUGGUUUCAUGACAUCAGAUCUGAACUGUGCUUGAUUGCAAGAUCCAGGCAUAUCGACUUCUUCAUCCCCCACUUUAUCUGGCUUCACUUGUCCCGCCUGAUACUCAGAUGAAAACCAAAGAUGAGAGACUCUAUAAUCAUUUCUUCGGUCGCUGUAAAAAAACAUAUUUGAAGAACAAGGAGAUUACCAGCAUACGGAUGAAUGUUGUCUUCCCAGUGCCAUUCUCACCAAGCAAUACAAUUAUUUGGGAAUCA